UAGGGAAUCCUCCGCAAUGGGCGAAAGCCUGACGGAGCAACGCCGCGUGAGUGAUGACGGUCUUCGGAUCGUAAAACUCUGUUAUUAGGGAAGAACAAAUGUGUAAGUAACUAUGCACGUCUUGACGGUACCUAAUCAGAAAGCCACGGCUAACUACGUGCCAGCAGCCGCGGUAAUACGUAGGUGGCAAGCGUUAUCCGGAAUUAUUGGGCGUAAAGCGCGCGUAGGCGGUUUUUUAAGUCUGAUGUGAAAGCCCACGGCUCAACCGUGGAGGGUCAUUGGAAACUGGAAAACUUGAGUGCAGAAGAGGAAAGUGGAAUUCCAUGUGUAGCGGUGAAAUGCGCAGAGAUAUGGAGGAACACCAGUGGCGAAGGCGACUUUCUGGUCUGUAACUGACGCUGAUGUGCGAAAGCGUGGGGAUCAAACAGG
rnacentral:rRNA from 1 species